rnacentral:lncRNA from 1 species
GUUGGUUAUUUUUGUUGAUUUAUUGUGUACAGUAGGGUUCAGAAUUACAUGCAGUUGAUCUGGUAUUGUAGGUAUUAAAUGGAAAUACAAGAUCAUUAACCUAGCGGGGAUUAGGAUAGUCUGGAGACAAGCAGAGUUGCAAGAGAAGUUGACCUGAAAGAUUUAUGGAAGCUUGUACACAAUGCUGAUGAGGAGGACUCUACUGAGAGUGAGAGUUCAUUGUCCACCUCUACAGAACAACUAAAGGAGC